CUGGGGUGUGAGGAGACUGGAAGGCCGAAGAGCCAGAGGGACAGGAAAUGAAGGCAGGACCUCAUUGAAAGCAUUCGCUCCAAGGUCCAGAAAGCAAGCAGGGCCUCAUGGACUGAGGGCCGAGGGAGAGAUCAGAGACUUAAACCCUCCCCAGAACAAAGAGCCCAGUUACAAGAAGUGGGAGAGCCAGAAGGAGGAAUUUUGGAAUUCAAGAGCUCCAAAAAUAAACCUUUUCCUUUUAUCACUUUUCUCUUUUUACUUUCGUUGCUCUCAACUUGCUUUUUUUCUAAUUCUAACAAUUCUACAGGCAGCCAGAAGUGUGAAGAAAAUAAAGCAACUAGAGGUUUUUGCGAAGCUGAUGUGCUCAUUCCGCUUUUAGCCCACUGGUUUCAAAGGGAGGCGCACACGCACUCUUUCCACAUGAUCCAGUCAUGGAUUCAGACCGCAGGCCAAGGCCACAAGCAACAGUGCCCUGCUACAUCUGCCUCGGCCCCUGGCGGCUGCCUUCCAAGAAGUGCUGGAACAGCGGAAGCAGCUAGCAGCGCGGAUUGCUGCAUUUAACGCAGAAGUGCUGUCAGCAGGCAGGAAAGGGAACCUUCACCCCUGACCACUCCCAGGACCAGCGCCCCUAUCCGCAGUGAGCCAAGAACAUUCUUUCACUCUAGUCCUUGAA
rnacentral:lncRNA from 1 species